CUUCAGAUGCUAUGCAACCACCUUGCAUCACUCGUUGGAAGAGAGACAGCAUGGCCUUCAGCCUUAGCACAUGAGAGGCUGGCAGAGUUGCUCAAAUAUUCCCACAAAUCCCACUCUUUGGAGCAGCACUAUCCAUCUUUCUGACUGAGGAGUCUUCAUUCCCAAGGACAGUUCUCAAAGAGAAAGGAAAGCAACUUUCCCAGGUACAUGAAACAUUGAAUCUUUCUCUUCCCAAAAAGCCACUUUCUGAUUCCAAGAAAAGCUAGUAAAGACCUGAAGUCUGUUUGCAGUUUCCUUGAUAAUAUGUUACCAUGUGAUUAAAGCAGCUUUAAUCGCUGUACAUGCUUCUAUGCAUGAACAUUAAUUUUCAUUUCUUAACAGAUCAACUGCAUCUUUGAGAGAUACUAUGCUAAUACUAUAUGUAAAAAAACUGUACAUACUUCUUUUAGCUCAAGUAAGAAUACAGGUUAGUUAAAAGACUGUCAAUUUCUUCAACAGGUUUCUAUUUUGCUAUUAUAAAUGUAAUAUGUACUACUUGCUAUUUUUUCAAGAUGGCUUUCACUUGCCAACUUUGUUAAUUUUGAGUCUCAUCUUGCACUGUAAAUGGAAACUUAUAUGCAGUCUUACGGGGUCAAUAAUACUGUCAUUGACAGUAGGUAGUAUGUUUGAUACUGAUUUGAGGGGGUCUUUAUUCAAAUUUCUUUGGCCCUGUAGCAUCUGGAAAGCUGUUGUUUGUCAUCUACGUCCAGCACUGCAUUGUCAUCACCAAUGUACAAAAGACUGGCCUGCUCCUGGAAUGGAGCUACUAACAAAUAGCCCACUCAGACAGGAAACAGCUGCAGCACCUUUCAGAAGUACAACUGUCAUCUUAGGUUCUUAUAGAACAAAAAUGGGUUGUUGAAACAACUUUCAUUUAAAGUACGCAGGUUUUCAAGGAUCUCCAAGACAUUUAUAAACAGAAGUCAGAUGCCUAAUACCUGCUAAGAAAUGAGGUAAUGGAGUACCUUUCCCUUGUCUCACCAUUAGUCAGCAACAGAACUGAGGACAGAAUCUGUAAAUUGGUACCUCUCAGCACCAGACUGUGCUGCUUCUGUACACAUCUGCCACGCUUUGUGACUUCACGGUGCAGUUAUCUGCUCAGUUCUUUUCAUGACUUCUUGAUUGUAAAAGUUGUGGAAGAAGAUACACAUAAAGAAAUCAAGUCCAGUAGUUUGCAAAUACCAUUACUCACUAUGUAGUCUUCAUAACUGAGUGUAUGUCUGAGUUGAAGAUGCCUUAUAAAAUGUCUGCUGAAAUAGCUUGGAUCUCUCCCAGGUGUUAAACAAUUGUACAACAAUUUAAAUAAAUGGAAGGAAGUAUUCAGUUUUCACAUUGGAGGUCUUGCAGAAGAAAUGUUAUCAGUGUUUAAAAAAAACAGAAUUGUGAAAUAAGUGAAUCUGUUAUGGCCAAAUGGCAUUCUUUGAGCAAGACGAAGACUGCUAGUCACAGUGCACUUCCAGAUCAGCUGUCAAUUAUGCUAAUCCCUGCUGUGUAAUUCAUGUCUGCAGACAUCCCAAGGACUGUCAACCCACAUAAAGCUGAUGGUUAAUAUAUUCCCUUGUACUAGCUGCAAGAGAACAGUCAGGCAAAAGCAUUUGUUUUAUUGAAUACAACAUUUGUUUAUCAUCCAAAACAAUUUGUGUAUCCAUACAAACAGGGUCACAGUAAGACCUCACAGCCUCCGUGGACCUUCAGAAUGAAGCCAUUUAUGUGAAGUUAACUUAAAAAAUAAAAAUUAAAAUCCCCACUAUGACAGACUCCUAUGUAAAGCCAAAUAUGCAGUUCUCAAAUUAUAACCUCAAAACCCAAAUGAGAAUACAAAGCAAAUGCUGCACAUAAAUUUGAGUUAAGGCAGUAGAAAUAGCACAUGCAGGACUUAAAAGCAGGCAAGUGACUGAACCUAAUGAUAAUCACUGUCUUGGCUGUAAGUAAUGGUUUGUUGUAUCCAUCAUAAGACUUCCUACUCCAUUUUUCAGUGCUCCCACCAGCACUCACAAUUGUGGGAGUGCUAGUAUUUUAAAUAUUAUGUGCAUACAUGCUUGUCUGUGAGAAAUGGGGAGAGGGAAUUAAUAUAGGUACAUUUUUCCUCCACUGUCAAAACCAAUUAAACAAUAUAUCUUCUCUUUGUC